rnacentral:rRNA from 1 species
UACGUAGGGUGCGAGCGUUGUCCGGAAUUACUGGGCGUAAAGAGCUCGUAGGUGGUUUGUCGCGUUGUUCGUGAAAACUCACAACUCAAUUGUGGGCGUGCGGGCGAUACGGGCAGACUGGAGUACUGCAGGGGAGACUGGAAUUCCUGGUGUAGCGGUGGAAUGCGCAGAUAUCAGGAGGAACACCGGUGGCGAAGGCGGGUCUCUGGGCAGUAACUGACGCUGAGGAGCGAAAGCGUGGGGAGCGAACAG